rnacentral:rRNA from 1 species
UACGGGGGGGGCAAGCGUUGUUCGGAAUUACUGGGCGUAAAGCGUGCGCAGGUGGUUUGUUAAGUCUGCUGUGAAAGCCCCGGGCUCAACCUGGGAAUGGCAGUGGAGACUGGCAAGCUAGAGUGCGGUAGAGGAUAGUGGAAUUCCCGGUGUAGCGGUGAAAUGCGUAGAUAUCGGAAGGAACACCAGUGGCGAAAGCGGCUUCCUGGUCCAGCACCGACGUUCAGGCACGAAAGCGUGGGGAGCAAACAGG